UUUUAUUAUUUCUUAAAAAUAAUAUUUCGCUUAUAUCUUGUAAAUACAUUUAUAUAAGAGAAAGUACGAAAGAAUGAGUUUAAUUUCAAGAACUACGCUCUAAACAUGUAUUGAUGUUAUAUGCAAAAAUUUAAUCAAAACAAAUUGUGAGUUAUAAUAUAAACCAACAAUAGCAUAAGUAUGAUGCUGAAAUUCCUUCGUCCAAAAAAUACACGUUAUUUACAUCUAUCCUUGUUAAGAGUUAAAAUCAUUAUCUUUCAAUUGUGACUUUUAAAAGCCGCUACUGUUUUCGGUAAAUCGAUUGUUAAUUCAUUGAAAUACAGCUCGAUUAAAAACCACUUUUUAGAUUAUUACAUAUCAGAUUUUCAUCUAAGAAUGCAGGACUAAUAGACCAAUCGAUAUUCCAACCUUUCGGAUCCGGUCCAAGAAGUUGCAUAGGAAUGAGAAUGGCUCAAACAAUUAUGAAAUUAACUUUGGCUAAUCUCAUAAGGACCUACAAAUUAGAACCUUGUGGAAGUUCGGAAGCUGAAGAAGACUUAUCGCUUUUUAUACCUCGUCCAAAAAAUGGAAUUAUUGUAAAGGCGACUGCAAUAACUUUGUGAAACUCUUGAUAAAUGUUUUUAUUUUAAUCACGUUCGAGUGUUUGUAAUGAAAAUAGUGAUAUUAUGUAUGUUAAAAUUCAUUUUUAUAAAAUGAACAUUUUUAGCGGCCUUGGAAAUUGCACAAUUUACAGAAAAAGUUCAAUAGAUUUACAUAGUAGCAUAGAUAAUCCACGAUCACCAUUUAUAAUGAUAAGUACUAAAGAAGAAUUAGAUUUCAAUAGGAAGAAAAGAUAUUUCGUCCAGGAAAUUAAUUUAUUAACAUGAAAAUUUUAAUUAUUUUAUUAAGUUUAAUAUUUCUCUCCAAAUCAGAUGAUUGUAGCGAAAUGAUGGACAAUUUUUUGACAAAAAUGAGUAACAAGGAGUCAAUAAGAAAACGGUUAGAUCCUGCUUUCAUAGGGAACAUCGAAGCUGGCUGCUUUAAAGCUUGGAAUGUAAUGGGAAUAGGAAUUUUGCCGUUAUACAGAAUGGGAAAUUGCACUUGGAAUUUUGACGAUAAAAGCGAUAACAUUAUUAUUAAUUCUGGAUUUACGACAACAAAUCUUGGAAUAUUUUUAAAUUACCAACUUAAUAUUUUGUUUUUUACGUUUUCUGGUCACAUGUAUUUCACUAUCGAUAGAAUUGAUGCCAAAAUAACGCUCUCUUCCGCAUUUUCUCCUGAAACAACUAGAUUGCUUUUAUUUCAAAUUAUUAAUAUCUACGAUCUUAAGUUAAUAGAAUUGAGUGGAUUUACAGUAUUUUUUAAUUGGUUAAAAAAACUCAUAAUUGAAAACGUAAUAAGGUACAGUUUACCAGAAAUAAUAGAAAUCCUUAACACCAGAGCGUCGAAAAUCAUUAACGAAAAUUUACAAGAAUUAUAUAAAGAAUUUGAAGCGUCGAUUUUAAAAUAAAAAACUUAUCGCAUAAUAAUUACAAUUUAUACUCAAGAAGUGUAAAUGUCCAUGUAAUAAUGUCAGCAUUGGCUAUUCUUUCACAAAAGUAGGCCUUGGUAUGGUCAUAAUGUUCUUUCCUACUUAUAUUUUGACAUUGGCAUUUCUUGCAUAAAAUAAAUAAGAGUUUUC